GACGAACCGUGCGAGCGUUAUUCGGAAUCACUGGGCUUAAAGCGCGUGUAGGCGGGCGGGUACGUCGGCCACUGAAAGCCCCCGGCUCAACCGGGGAAGGGGUGCCGAAACGGCCGGCCUGGAGGGGCGUAGGGGGACCUGGAACUUCCGGUGGAGCGGUGAAAUGCGUAGAUAUCAGGAGGAACACCGGCGGUGUAGACGGCUCUCUGGACCGUAACUGACGCUGAGAUACGAAAGCGUGGGUAGCAAACAGG
rnacentral:rRNA from 1 species